AGUGAACGCUGGCGGUAGGCCUAACACAUGCAAGUCGAACGGCAGCACAGUAAGAGCUUGCUCUUACGGGUGGCGAGUGGCGGACGGGUGGGGAAUACAUCGGAAUCUACUUUUUCGUGGGGGAUAACGUAGGGAAACUUACGCUAAUACCGCAUACGACCUACGGGUGAAAGCAGGGGAUCUUCGGACCUUGCGCGAUUGAAUGAGCCGAUGUCGGAUUAGCUAGUUGGCGGGGUAAAGGCCCACCAAGGCGACGAUCCGUAGCUGGUCUGAGAGGAUGAUCAGCCACACUGGAACUGAGACACGGUCCAGACUCCUACGGGAGGCAGCAGUGGGGAAUAUUGGACAAAGGGCGCAAGCCUGAUCCAGCCAUACCGCGUGAGUGAAGAAGGCCUUCGGGUUGUAAAGCCCUUUUGUUGGGAAAGAAAAGCAGCAGGUUAAUACCCCGCUGUUCUGACGGUACCCAAAAAAUAAGCACCGGCUAACUUCGUG
rnacentral:rRNA from 1 species